rnacentral:rRNA from 1 species
UACAGGGGGGUGCAACGUUGCUCGGAAUCAUUGGGCGUAAAGCGCACGUAGGCGGUUCGUUAUGUCGGAUGUGAAAGCCCUUGGCUUAACCGAGGAAGUGCAUCCGAAACUGGCGAGCUAGAGUACGAAAGAGGAUCGCGGAAUUCCCGGUGUAGAGGUGAAAUUCGUAGAUAUCGGGAGGAACACCGGUGGCGAAGGCGGCGAUCUGGGUCGAUACUGACGCUGAGGUGCGAAAGCGUGGGGAGCAAACAGG